UACGGGGGGGCAAGCGUUGUUCGGAAUUACUGGGCGUAAAGGGCUCGUAGGUGGCCAACUAAGUCAGACGUGAAAUCCCUCAGCUUAACUGGGGAACUGCGUCUGAUACUGGAUGGCUUGAGUUUGGGAGAGGGAUGCGGAAUUCCAGGUGUAGCGGUGAAAUGCGUAGAUAUCUGGAGGAACACCGGUGGCGAAGGCGGCAUCCUGGACCAACACUGACACUGAUGAGCGAAAGCCAGGGAGCAAACGGG
rnacentral:rRNA from 1 species